rnacentral:rRNA from 1 species
AGCCUGAUGCAGCGACGCCGCGUGAGGGAUGACGGCCUUCGGGUUGUAAACCUCUUUCGACAGGGACGAAGCGGAAGUGACGGUACCUGUAGAAGAAGCACCGGCCAACUACGUGCCAGCAGCCGCGGUAAUACGUAGGGUGCGAGCGUUGUCCGGAAUUACUGGGCGUAAAGAGCUUGUAGGCGGUUUGUCGCGUCUUCUGUGAAAACUCACAGCUCAACUGUGAGCUUGCAGGGGAUACGGGCAGACUAGAGUACUUCAGGGGAGACUGGAAUUCCUGGUGUAGCGGUGAAAUGCGCAGAUAUCAGGAGGAACACCGGUGGCGAAGGCGGGUCUCUGGGAAGUAACUGACGCUGAGAAGCGAAAGCGUGGGUAGCGAACAGGAUUAGAUACCCUGGUAGUCCACGCCGUAAACGGUGGGUACUAGGUGUGGGUUUCCUUCCACGGGAUCCGUGCCGUAGCUAACGCAUUAAGUACCCCGCCUGGGGAGUACGGCCGCAAGGCUAAAACUCAAA